rnacentral:rRNA from 1 species
UACGGAGGGUGCAAGUGUUAUUCGGAAUCACUGGGCGUAAAGAGCACGUAGGCGGAUAGGCAAGUCAGGUGUGAAAGCCCGGAGCUCAACUCCGGAAUUGCAUUUGAUACUGCUUGUCUUGAGUGAGGUAGAGGGGGGUGGAAUUCCCGGUGUAGAGGUGAAAUUCGUAGAUAUCGGGAGGAACACCAGAGGCGAAGGCGACCCCCUGGGCCUCUACUGACGCUGAGGUGCGAAAGCGUGGGGAGCAAAC